GAUUCAUUCCUUGUUACUAUAUGAAGAUCCGGCACUGUGACCCCUUCAGGGUUCCCUCACCAUAUCUAAGAUGCCGGAUACAGACAAGCGUUCCACAGCCUCAAGACAACUUAAAAACUCUGACUCCACAUAGCUCAGAUUUUUCUUUUCCGAGCUGUGCUAGAUGACGUGGAAGACAGCUUCUAGCUCCAAAGAUCUAAGGGAACAUUUGGAGAUGUUGAAAGAUGGUGAGAAGACAAAGGCUCAGAGAGGUAACACCUGAAGGCCCCAAAGCAUGUCAGCAACACCAGAAGAUCACCGAUCUUCAGCUUUCCAGACGGUGUUUUCCCAGUAUCUGCUGCUGCCUCAGCCAUCCCUCAUCCUUCAGUGCUCCCACACUGCCUGUGACACGUACACACUCAAAUAUCACUCAUGUAUGCACUAAGGUCUCCAGGAAGAUAAUAAUCCCAGAGUGUUAUUCACAGGAAGUGGACAGCACUUCCUUUAUGCACUUUAUACAUAUGAAUGCAUUAAUCCUUACAAUAACCCUGGAGGUAGCUACUACUAUUAUCCCUACACAGACAUGAAUUUGAGCAAGCUCCGGAAGUUGGUGAUGGACAGGGAGGCCUGGCGUGCUGCAGUCCAUGCAAAAAGUCUUAUACGACUGAGCUACUGAACUGAACUAAACGGUUGCACAGUAUUGUAAAUGGGCUUCCCUUGUAGGUCAGUUGAUAAAGAAUCCGCCCGCAAUGCAGGAGACCAGGG
ensembl:lncRNA